rnacentral:rRNA from 1 species
GACGAACGCUGGCGGCGUGCUUAACACAUGCAAGUCGAGCGGUAAGGCCCUUUCGGGGGUACGACGAGCGGCGAACGGGUGAGUAACACGUGGGUGACCUGCCCUCAGCUCUGGGAUAAGCCUGGGAAACUGGGUCUAAUACUGGAUAUGACUCCACGGUGCAUGUCGUGGGGUGGAAAGCCUUGUGCGGCUGAGGAUGGGCCCGCGGCCUAUCAGCUUGUUGGUGGGGUGANGGCCUACCAAGGCGACGACGGGUAGCCGGCCUGAGAGGGCGACCGGCCACACUGGGACUGAGACACGGCCCAGACUCCUACGGGAGGCAGCAGUGGGGAAUCUUGCGCAAUGGGCGAAAGCCUGACGCAGCGACGCCGCGUGAGGGAUGACGGCCUCGGGUUGUAAACCUCUUUCA